AACUGAGUUUGUUAUUGGUAUGAGCUUUCAUGUGCAUGCACACUUCUUCAGAUACCACUUCAGAUAAGUGUGCAUGCACACGAAAGCUCAUACCAAUAACAAACUUAGUUGG